rnacentral:rRNA from 1 species
UACGAAGGGGCUAGGCGUUGCUCGGAAUCACUGGGCGUAAAGCGCACGUAGGCGGAUUGUUAAGUCAGGGGUGAAAUCCUGGAGCUCAACUCCAGAACUGCCUUUGAUACUGGCGAUCUCGAGUCCGGGGAGAGGUGAGUGGAACUGCGAGUGUAGAGGUGAAAAUUCGUAGAUAUUCGCAAGAACACCAGUGGCGAAGGCGGCUCACUGGCCCGGUACUGACGCUGAGGUGCGAAAGCGUGGGGA